rnacentral:rRNA from 1 species
ACCACUGAAUCCAGAAGGUUGGGCGUCGAUCUGAAGCUCUUGUUGUGCUGAGCGUGCUCUUAGGGGCCAUAGCUCAGUUGGGAGAGCGCGUGCUUUGCAAGCAUGAGGUCGUCGGUUCGAUCCCGUCUGGCUCCACCAUUUCCUGCAUUCCGAUGAGGGAUGCGGUCGAGAUGGUCGGUGGUGAAGCGCUUCAAGCGUGAGAGAAGAACAUCCGGUUCUUUUCUCUUCUGUCCGCACAAUCUGUUUCGCUGAUCCUCAGCAAGCCCCCAUGUGGGCGAGGAUGAGCGCUGCUGUCUGACAUUGUGAAUCUGGGCGUUUUCGAUUUGCUGGCCGCAAGGCUGGCGGGUCGUGACAAUCAAGCUUUCGGGCUUGAGAGGACACGAUCAUCGGGUGCUGACCGCACCGGUGUCGAAAAUGUCGAAGCUGGUCUUUAGCGUCCAGCCCUCUCGCUGAUCCGCCUGGUGCGGAUUGAUGAGAACCUCAGCCGAGGAGUGGGCAUGGACGAUGAGAACGAUCAAGUGUCUUAAGGGCAUUCGGUGGAUGCCUUGGCGCUAAGAGGCGAAGAAGGACGUGGUACCGCUGCGAUAUGCUUCGGG